rnacentral:tRNA from 1 species
GCUCCGGAAGCAUUGCGAGCGAUGCGGCUGUUUCGUAAUCAGCGGAGCCGGGUGCAAUUCCUGGCCGGAGCUCCA